CAGAAUGCUUGUUACCUACUAAGCCUCCCUGACAGUUACUGGGGACUCAAAUGCUGAGCGUACUCAGGAGAACAGGCAGCAAGUGACAAUGUGGACAGCGUUCCAAAUCUCUUAGCCUCACCAGUGUAGAAUUCACGGAACCACCUACAAUUCAAGUUAGAGGAUUGCAGUCCGGUUUUCUAACAGUAAGUAAUUUCCAUCACUAUGAGUGCAGACAUGUGCCUUGGGAUAAGAUGAGUGAUGUUCCAAGUCACCACCCUGAAUGAGGACCAGGAUUGACAAAGAUGGACUUUACCUUCCUCAAGUUCUUCUUCCAAAAACCCAGAGAUCUCACUUGCCCAGAGCUCAGGCAUCAGAACUGAUGGAAAAACAAGUAGCACCUUUCUCCGAGAAGCUCAGGGGGCUGUUUGAACACAAGUCAACAUUAUAUAUGGUGCUUCUGUUCAUGCCUGUUUGCUUGGUUGCUCAAUUCUGCUUCCGCUGUGGGUUCUUUGUUCCCUUUCUUUUGCUUAUUUCUGCUCACGGUUGUAAUGGUGUUCUGUUAUAUCCAUUUACCUAAAGCACUUGAGACUUAUGUUUUAGGAAUCUAGAAGACCAAGAAGACAUGCUUAAAAAUGGAAUUUUUUAUGAUUGCAACAUGGUGAUUCACCCUUUUAUAUAUUACAAGUUCAAUAAAUGCAGCAGCACACUGAGAAAUAUUUACAGCAUGUCCUGCUUUUGUCAAAGUGCCAGUGAAUGCACAUCCAGCCACUGGGAGCAAAAAUGUCUGAAGAAACAGAGACAGAUGUUCUUCUUCCUGUAGGAUUAGGUUCAAGGUGAUUCUCCCGAGAGAAUGGCACAUAACCCUGUGGGGGUCAAAGUGACAGCUUUAAUAGGAGAUUUGGCAGUAUUUAGAUGGAAAGAUGUAGAUACUAGAUUUGAGGCUGCAGUGGGGCUCUCUAAGCCUGACUCUGAAAGAGGGAAACCUACACCUCUUUGGCUCCCUGUCCAGUUCCAGGUAGAUUCACUGGAUCUCCCUCCAGAGGGCUUCAGAAGAGUGAAAGGAGGAGAAA
rnacentral:lncRNA from 1 species